UAUCAGUAUCCUGAGUAGGGCGGGACACGUGAAAUCCCGUUUGAAUCCGCGAGGACCAUCUCGCAAGGCUAAAUACUAACCAGUGACCGAUAGUGAACCAGUACCGUGAGGGAAAGGUGAAAAGAACCCCGGGAGGGGAGUGAAAGAGAACCUGAAACCGUGUGCCUACAAGUAGUCAGAGCCCGUUAACGGGUAAUGGCGUGCCUUUUGUAGAAUGA
rnacentral:rRNA from 1 species